rnacentral:rRNA from 1 species
UACGUAGGGGGCAAGCGUUGUCCGGAUUCAUUGGGCGUAAAGAGCUCGUAGGCGGCUUGGCAAGUCGGGUGUGAAACCUCCAGGCUCAACCUGGAGACGCCACCCGAUACUGCCAUGGCUAGAGUCCGGUAGGGGACCACGGAAUUCCUGGUGUAGCGGUGAAAUGCGCAGAUAUCAGGAAGAACACCAAUGGCGAAGGCAGCUCUCUGGGACGGUACUGACGCUGAGACGCGAAAGCGUGGGGAGCGAACAGG